UCAACAUCUUUGAAAGCAUAUAAGAAUGACGGCAACAUUUUUUCUAUCUCGGCCAUGCCAUUAUAGCUCAUAAAUUAUUUCACGUCCGCAUUUUAACAAAAAUGCUUAUAACUUAAUACAGGCUAAGAUUUUGCAAAAUAAUUUAAUGGUUCGCAAAACUGUUUCACCGACACGGCAGAAUGAUAAAUUUAUGGUUGUUUUAAAUUCGAUCUAGUUGAAAGAGGUCAAAAAUGUCUUUAAUAUUUUGCAAAAGUGAAAAAUUGAGGAAAAAACGUCAUGGACUGACGUAGUGGAUUGAGACGCAGCCGCUGUUAAUUUUCCUCACAGGAACCUUUCCUUUCUUUCUCCUAUCCGGUGAUGCAUUUAUGUCUCCAUCUUGUAUCUAUCUUAGGAGACCAAUUCACUCAUUACACACGAGAUUAGCCAACAUCCUUCAAAGGUACUGUGGACUAAUCGUGUUUUCAUUUCAUCCUCAACAAGCUUCCAAACUCAUUCCGUUUUGAUUACAUAUUUGUCUUCUCUUCCGUUGAAAAAAAAAAUUGGAAAUUCAGAACGGAGCGUCACGCCACAUCUUUUUUUACCAUUCAAUGUCAAAUCCAGAGAUUUCAUUUAUAUCGCUAUAUGUAGCGCCGUGCUUAGACUUACAAAAAAAGAAAAAAAGGCGACCCGUCACAGGUUAUUCGAGCAAUCAAAAGAACACCCCCAACUCCCUUUUCCUAUAUUCUUUUAUUCUUUUUGCUUUAUAUUCUCUCUCUCAAACCUUCCUCAUUUUGAUUUUGUUGUGAUCGAAUUUUACCCUGGAAUUUCAACCCGAAAUUGUGGGUUGACUUCGCUUCAAAUCAAUCAGAUCUGCACCUACUCUUUAUACCAUCUCAGGGUGCUCAUCCUGUAGGCUUUUUACUGUGAGUUGAAGUGAUUCCUUCCCCUCAGCUAGUGCUCUACUUGUUUCCUUUCAUUAUUUCUCCUGCACUCUAUCGAAAAUCAAGAGUGCUGCACAUUAAUUUUUAUCGCUUUUCUUCUUUCCUUCACCUUUUUAAUUAACUUUUUCAUCUCUUGUCAGAAAAACUCUAUUAAAAAAACAGAUUUGAAAAUACAAAGAACUCCUUCUUCUUUGGAACUCCUUUCAUGGAAAAGUAUCAAAAAUUUUAUGCUCUCUCUCCUACCGUAAAUUAUCAUUAAUCAUUCGCCAAACCUUCGCAGAUUGUACGCCUACACAGAGAACAACAAACAAUUUCGUCUUAUUUUCUUUCAGUAAUAAUUUAUUAGACUUAAUGAGAAUAACUCAACCUGCCUGCUACCUUUCAUUCGUAUUUACAAUUGGCAUUUUUCUGUUUUAUUCCGGCUGAAAAAGAGAAGAUGAAACCAAGUCUUCUGCUCCAAUUCUGCUUCAAUUCGUGUCGAAAGAGAAACAGAAAAUCGGACAACAUGCCUCGGGACCUGCCGAGAUUCGAACUGUCGAUCAUUAACGAAGUGCCCUCUUUUAUGGAGACAUACACGAGACGUCACUCAACCAACCACUCACAGCAUCAUUUAAGCAGCACAGCUCACAACAACAACAGCCUCCACACAAUGACUCAAUCUAAUUCGAUCGGUUCAGGCGACAUCGGUUCCCUUGCACGGCUGAGUCACUCGGGCUCGACCAGCUUAACUGUUGGCCCCACGCUAAAUCACCCGACAGCCGAUAGAUCGAAUGAAUUUAAUGGAAAAUCACGCCACCUCGAUAUAGCUGCAGAUUCUUGAAUCAAAUUCAGACAAUCGAUUAAAUCUGACUUCUUAAACUUAGUACUCUGACAUUAAUUUUUAGUUGGAUUAUUUUAUCAGCUAUCGUAUUCUCAAUUUCAAUUUAAUUUUUCCAUUUUUU